AACGAACGCUGGCGGCAUGCCUAACACAUGCAAGUCGAACGAGACCUUCGUGUCUAGUUGCGCACGGGUGCGUAACGCGUGGGAACCUGCCUUUAUGUUCGGAAUACCUCAGUGAAAUUUGAGCUAAUACCGGAUGAUUUCUUCUGACCACAGAUUUAUCGCCUUUGGAUGGGCCCGCGUUGUUUUAGCUUGUUGGUGUGGUAAGGGCCUACCACGGCAUCGAUACAUAGCUGGUAUGAGAGGAUGAGCAGCCACACUGGGGGUAGGAACCGGCCGAGAAUACUACGGGAGGGAGGAGAGGGGAAUAUAGGAAAAUGGGAGAAGGGCUGAUCGAGCAAUGCCGGGUGAGUGAUGAAGGCCUGAGGGAAGUAAAGCAGUUUUACCCGAGAUGAUAAUGACAGUACCGGGAGAAUAAGCACCGGCUAACUCCGUG
rnacentral:rRNA from 1 species